UAUUGCACAAUGGGGGAAACCCUGAUGCAGCGACGCCGCGUGGGCGAAGAAGUAUUUCGGUAUGUAAAGCCCUAUCAGCAGGGAAGAAGAAAUGACGGUACCUGAGUAAGAAGCACCGGCUAAAUACGUGCCAGCAGCCGCGGUAAUACGUAGGGGGCAAGCGUUAUCCGGAUUUACUGGGUGUAAAGGGAGCGUAGACGGCAGCACAAGUCUGGAGUGAAAUGCCGGGGCUUAACCCCGGAACUGCUUUGGAAACUGUGCAGCUAGAGUGCAGGAGAGGUAAGUGGAAUUCCUAGUGUAGCGGUGAAAUGCGUAGAUAUCGCGCAGAACUCCGAUUGCGAAGGCAGCGUACCGGCGCCGGCCUGACGCUGAGGCACGAAAGCGUGGGUAUCGAACAG
rnacentral:rRNA from 1 species